rnacentral:rRNA from 1 species
AUUGAACGCUGGCGGCAUGCUUUACACAUGCAAGUCGGACGGCAGCACAGAGAAGCUUGCUUCUUGGGUGGCGAGUGGCGAACGGGUGAGUAACAUAUCGGAACGUACCGAGCAGUGGGGGAUAACUAAUCGAAAGAUUAGCUAAUACCGCAUAUCUUCUGAGGAAGAAAGCAGGGGACCAUUUGGCCUUGCGCUGUUUGAGCGGCCGAUAUCUGAUUAGCUAGUUGGUGGGGUAAAGGCCUACCAAGGCGACGAUCAGUAGCGGGUCUGAGAGGAUGAUCCGCCACACUGGGACUGAGACACGGCCCAGACUCCUACGGGAGGCAGCAGUGGGGAAUUUUGGGCAAUGGGCGCAAGCCUGAUCCAGCCAUGCCGCGUGUCUGAAGAAGGCCUUCGGGUUGUAAAGGACUUUUGUCAGGGAAGAAAAGGGCGGGGUUAAUACCCCUGUCUGAUGACGGUACCUGAAGAAUAAGCACCGGCUAACUACGUG